rnacentral:rRNA from 1 species
AGGCUUAACACAUGCAAGUCGAGGGGCAGCGGGGGAGAAGCUUGCUUUUCCUGCCGGCGACCGGCGCACGGGUGAGUAACACGUAUGCAACCUGCCCCUGUCAGAGGGAUAAUCCGGAGAAAUCCGGUCUAAUAUCGCAUAAAGCGUUUGCGGGGCAUCCUGCGAGCGCCAAAGGAGUAAUCCGGACAGGGAUGGGCAUGCGGCGCAUUAGCUAGUUGGGGGGGUAACGGCCCACCAAGGCGACGAUGCGUAGGGGUUCUGAGAGGAAGGUCCCCCACAUUGGUACUGAGACACGGACCAAACUCCUACGGGAGGCAGCAGUGAGGAAUAUUGGUCAAUGGGCGGAAGCCUGAACCAGCCAAGUCGCGUGAGGGAAGACGGCCCUAAGGGUUGUAAACCUCUUUUGCCGGGGAGCAAAAGCGCCGUGCGCGGUGCUAUGAGAGUACCCGGAGAAAAAGCAUCGGCUAACUCCGUGCCAGCAGCCGCGGUAAUACGGAGGAUGCGAGCGUUAUCCGGAUUUAUUGGGUUUAAAGGGUGCGUAGGCGGACAGUUAAGUCAGCGGUCAAAACGGGCGGCUCAACCGCCUGCCGCCGUUGAAACUGGCAGUCUAGAGUGGGCGAGAAGUACGCGGAAUGCGCGGUGUAGCGGUGAAAUGCAUAGAUAUUGCGCAGAACUCCGAUUGCGAAGGCAGCGUACCGGCGCCCGACUGACGCUGAGGCACGAAAGCGUGGGUAUCAAACAGGAUUAGAUACCCUGGUAGUCCACGCAGUAAACGAUGGACACUAUCUGUUCGGGUCGAGAGAGAUCUGAGUGGCACAGCGAAAGCGUUAAGUGUCCCACCUGGGGAGUACGCCGGCAACGGUGAAACUCAAAGGAAUUGACGGGGGCCCGCACAAGCGGAGGAACAUGUGGUUUAAUUCGAUGAUACGCGAGGAACCUUACCCGGGCUCAAACGCACGACGGCGGCACGUGAAAGCGUGCUUACCUACGGGACGUUGUGCGAGGUGCUGCAUGGUUGUCGUCAGCUCGUGCCGUGAGGUGUCGGCUUAAGUGCCAUAACGAGCGCAACCCCCAUCCGCAGUUGCCAGCAGGUGAAGCUGGGGACUCUGCGGAGACUGCCGGCGCAAGCUGAGAGGAAGGCGGGGAUGACGUCAAAUCAGCACGGCCC